rnacentral:rRNA from 1 species
NUCGGAGGGCAAGUCUGGUGCCAGCAGCCGCGGUAAUUCCAGCUCCAAUAGCGUAUAUUAAAGUUGUUGCAGUUAAAAAGCUCGUAGUUGAAUUUCGGGACUAAUAUGUCGGUCGUACUCUGUACGUACUAGCAUUAUUGGUUUCUCCCUUCUGACGAACCACGAUGUCAUUAAUUUGGUGUCGCGGGAAAUCAGGACUGUUACUUUGAAAAAAUUAGAGUGUUUAAAGCAAGCUCGCGCUUGAAUACAUUAGCAUGGAAUAAUGAAAUAGGACGUUUGAUUCUAUUUUGUUGGUUUCUAGAAUCGACGUAAUGAUUAAUAGGGAUAGUUGGGGGCAUUAGUAUUCAAUUGUCAGAGGUGAAAUUCUUGGAUUUAUUGAAGACUAACUACUGCGAAAGCAUUUGCCAAGGAUGUUUUCAUUAAUCAAGAACGAAAGUUAGGGGAUCGAAGACGAUCAGAUACCGUCGUAGUCUUAACCAUAAACUAUGCCGACUAGGGAUCGGAUGAUGUUA